rnacentral:lncRNA from 10 species
UAAAUUGUGCGGUUAACGGUCAAAGCCCCCCUGCCUACUUUGACACUCAUUUAAAGAUGACAGGGAACAAUAGAGAUUUGUUCUGUGCAACCCUUUCUUGUUAUGCCGGCGACAUCAGCUCCGCACAUGAAACUGCCCGAUAUUUCAUUCCACCUGCCACCUCCCUCCCGCCUCGGUCGACUCUCUCCUCUGCUACUUUGCUUGUCCCCACUUUAACACAAAGAGACAGCUCUGUGUUCACAGCACCUAACAGUGUUGAAAAAGAAUGCUAUUUAAAACCCGAGUUGAGACAUCACCUUUCCAAACCCAUGACUGCUUCCUGGCUCACUAAACACGAACCAGAAAUUAAUGCUGCAAAGAGCAGAGACAAGAGAUUCGACUGUGUUAGCCAGGAUGGUCUCGAUCUCCUGACUUCGUGAUCUGCCCGCCUCAGCCUCCCAAAGUGCUGGGAUUACAGGCUUGAGCCACUGUGCCUGGCUUCAGGCUGGGAUUUUUAUAGCUUAUUAUGGCAAGGGAGGAGACGGAGAGUAAAAGAAGAAGGAAGAGCAUACACAGUCACCCCUUGUGUGACAAAUAUGCAAGAAAUAAAGAUAAAUGUGUACAAUUCUUACAAUUUUACUUUUCUGAAUUUUGCUAUUGCACUGAAUGAUUUGUGAUAAGACAGAUGGGGAUGAAAAAUAUACUUAUUAAAUAAACAGCUAUUAAAAGCCCCUAAA